GACGAACGCUGGCGGCGUGCUUAACACAUGCAAGUCGAACGGUGAAGCUCCAGCUUGCUGGAGUGGAUCAGUGGCGAACGGGUGAGUAACACGUGAGCAACCUGCCCCUGACUCUGGAAUAAGCGCUGGAAACGGCGUCUAAUACUGGAUACGAGAAGGGUCCGCAUGGGCACUUUCUGGAAAGUUUUUCGGUUGGGGAUGGGCUCGCGGCCUAUCAGCUUGUUGGUGAGGUAAUGGCUCACCAAGGCGACGACGGGUAGCCGGCCUGAGAGGGCGACCGGCCACACUGGGACUGCGACACGGCCCAGACUCCUACGGGAGGCAGCAGUGGGGAAUAUUGCACAAUGGGCGAAAGCCUGAUGCAGCGACGCCGCGUGAGGGAUGACGGCCUUCGGGUUGUAAACCUCUUUCAGCAGGGAAGAAGCGAAAGUGACGGUACCUGCAGAAGAAGCACCGGCUAACUACGUG
rnacentral:rRNA from 1 species